rnacentral:lncRNA from 1 species
UUAAAGCAAAGUGAAGAGCCUGCUUUGAUUGAAGUCCAAAAUCAGAAACUCCUCAAAGCACAGCAGACAAAAAAUCAGUACAAGAAAACCACACUACAAACUAGAGCUGACAGCUGGCACAACAAAACAUUGCAUGGAAAGUUCCUUGACAAAAUUGAAGGAAAAGCUGACAAGGAGAAGACCUGGCUCUGGCUCACGAAUGGGACCCUGAAGAAGGAGACAUUGACAAAAUUACGAUCUGCCAACUGCAAAAGGCCACCCUGCUGGGAUCUGCGCGCAUCAUCCAAAAAUACAUCACAUAGUCCUAGACACUUGGGAAGUGUUCAACUUGUGAUUUUGUGAAACGAAAUCCAGCAUAUCUAUCUUGUUUGUUGUGUCAUAAUAAAAUAAUAAUAAUAAAAUAUCCUCAAACAUAAAGGUAAAAUAUUAUAUAUUGUAUCAAAUGUAUUAAGCAAAAUAUUAGAAAUAUAAUAAAAUAUAAUAAUAUAGUACAGAAGAGUCUCACUUAUCCAACAUAAACGGGCUGGCAGAAUAUUGGAUAAGUGAAUAUGUUGGAUAAUAAGGCGAGAUUAAGGAGAAGCCUAUUAAACAUCAAAUUAGGUUAUGAUUUUACAAAUUAAGCACCAAAACAUCAUGUUAUACUACAAAUUUGACAGAAAAAGUAGUUCAAUAUGCAGUAAUGCUACGUAGUAAUUACUGUAUUUACGAAUUUAGCACCAAAAUAUCAUGAUGUAUUGAAAACAUUGACUACCAAAAUGCGUUGGAUAAUCCAGAAUGUUGGAUAAGCGAAUAUUGGAUAAGUGAGACUCUACUGUAUUAUUAAAAAUAAUACCAAAAUAAAUAAACAAUUAUAGGUAUAUGCCAUUUUCUCUCUCUUAAAAGAGACAUGAUGGUCAAUCUCUACCAAGCGCUGAUCAUAUACCUAUUAUCAUUAUUAUUAUUAGUAGUAGUAGUAGUAGUAUUGGUAGUAGUAAAUAAUAAUAAUAAUAGGUAUAUGCCAUUUUUGUCUCCCUUAAAAGGGACACAAUGGUCAAUCUCCACCAAGUGCUGACAAUAUACAUUUUAUUAUUAGUAGUAUUAGUAUUAGUAUUGGUAGUAGUAAAUAAUACUAAUAAUAAUAAUAAUAAUAAUAAUAAUAAUAGGUAUAUGCCAUUUAUGUCUCCCUUAAAAGGGACAUGAUGGUCAAUCUCUACCAAGAGCUGAUAAUGUAUAUUUUAUUAUUAGUAGUCUUAGUAUUAGUAUUGGUAGUAGUAAAUAAUAAUGAUAAUAAU